UACAGAGGUCUCGAGCGUUAGGCGGAAUCACUGGGCUUAAAGCGUGUGUAGGCGGAUGCCUAAGUACCUUGUGAAAUCCCACGGCUUAACCGUGGAACUGCUUGGUAUACUGGGUGUCUUGAGCCACUCAGGGGCGAGCGGAACAAUGUGGAGCGGUGAAAUGCGUAGAUAUCAUUUGGAACGCCAAUGGUGAAAACAGCUCGCUGGGGUGUGCUGACGCUGAGACACGAAAGCCAGGGGAGCGAACGGG
rnacentral:rRNA from 1 species